rnacentral:lncRNA from 1 species
GGCUAUAUAUAUGUAUCUAUACCUGGCCGUUGCUUAACUCCGUGAUCAGCGUGGCAUGGACCAUGCAGAUCCAGAACUCCCCGUGCUCUUGGCAGCCGCCGGGGCCGCGGCAGCGGCGGCGAUCGUACGCAAACACGAGUACGUGCCAUGUUUUCCCUACCGACAUCAAUCAAUUACAUAAUUGCUAUUGAUUUGGAGUUUGAAGUUUGCUUUGUUGGUUUUGGUUCUUCCAUCGUGUACUCCAUGAAAAAUAUUACUAUUAAUUAUUCUCUUUAUUGGUCUGCUCCUGUGCCAAGGUUUCCAAAAAUUUGUUGAUCGUUAAUUUGUUCUUCCUUCAAUUAUGCAUAGAAUUCAGCUGGUCGAUCCAUCUCAGAUGCGCGCCGGUCUGUGCGCGCUUCUUCUUCCUUCUCGUUUUAUGACCUCUCGAUCUUUGCCUUCAUUUGCAGCAGAUGGAACAAAUGGCUCACCCUGCAGCAAUCAACCACACCAAGCGACAGAGAUUUCACAAGGCGUUGGCAGUGCGAUACCACACGUUGAUCUUCCAGAGGUGCGCGCGCGCAGCUAAUUACCUUUUUUUAGUGGAUAGCCAAAUCCGUUUUAUUUUGCGGCAGCUAGCCUCCAUGGUGAUAAAUUGUCGCAUAAUUUUGUAGGUUACGAUCCCGGGAAAUUUGUACCAUAAGAUCUUUGUGAUCUAAUUAAAUUUGAAACACCUGAUUUUUGUUCCACCUCUAGGAUAUUCCAUUUAUACUGGAAAGUAACAUUUUUUUAGUUUCCAAGUAAAUGCUCAUUCUGUUUCUCUAUGUUUGUUUAUAGCACACCAUGUGCACAAAUCAAGGAAAUAUGAGUUCUAACAAAAAAAAUGUCAAUGUGAAUGAGUGAAUGACCAUGCAUGCUCUUAUUAAAUAGCAUGAUACAACUGUCUCGUUUUUUUCCGAAGCACUUAAUUAGAGGGUGUAUGGUAGAAACAUCGCAAUUACUAUACUCUUGAUAUCCACAAUGGAUAAACAUUGUGAGACAUAUUCCCCCGAGGCCUCGGACAAACAUAGCGAAACUGAGGGAGUAUAGUGUGACUAAAAAUCUAGAUGUUGAACUCCUAAAAAGUACCCUAAUAUUUGCAACACUUUGAUUUUAGUGUUAAAACACCUAAAAAUACCAAAAAUAUUUUAAAAAUUGAGUAGCAUGGAUGCUAGGAGGUCAAAAAGUACCAGGUGUUAAAUUUGAGGAUAAAUCAUGUCCUCGUUGUAUUUCUUCAAUUAUGAUUUUUUUAUUUAAUUUCUUUAUCUUUUUCAUUAUGUGUUUUAUUAUUUAGUGACAAGGAAAACUCCUACGAUUAUAUCUACAGUUGCAUACGAUGUUACCUUUUCUCACAUGCACUGCUUGUGCAGGAUGUCUUGCAGCACAUACAUUCCUUGAUGCCAAUGCGAGAUGCAGCUCGUGCAGCCUGUGUGUC